GCCGAGUUCAGUAGCAUGAGCUUGUAACCCGAGCGGGAGCUUUAGGGUGGUGUGGAUGUUGCCGUAGCGCUGUGGGCCUGGUCCGGUCGUGCUCCUGCUGGCCCGCCCGUUCCAAGUUGGUAGUGGACCGCUGGGGCCUGUGCGAAAGCUGGGCCUCACGGGCCGUAAUGUUGGCAGGCACAUCGUUAGGCUGGCUUCACAGAGCAGCGAGAACUGCCCGCUUCCAAUGGUGGAAGGAUAACGGGCCGCUGCACAACUGGGCCGCACUUGGGCCUCUCAGCCUACUCCAACAGAACAGACCACCACUUCU
rnacentral:SRP_RNA from 1 species